GACGAACGCUGGCGGCGUGCCUAAUACAUGCAAGUCGAACGCAGUGGGGACGGGUGCGUAACACGUGGGUAACCUCCCAUCAGAGGGGAUAACACUUGGAAACAGGUGCUAACCCCCUACUGGUGGAUGGACCCGCGGUGGAUUAGCUAGUUGGUGAGGUAACGGCUCACCAAGGCCACGAUGCAUAGCUGGCCUGAGAGGGUGAUCGGCCACACUGGAACUGAGACACGGCCCAGACUCCUACGGGAGGCAGCAGUAGGGAAUCUUCGGCAAUGGACGAAAGUCUGAUCGAGCAAAGCCGCGUGAGUGAAGAAGGUUUUCGGAUCGUAAAACUCUGUGGUUAGAGAAGCGGUAUCUAACCAGAAAGCCACGGCUAACUACGUGCCAGCAGCCGCGGUAAUUC
rnacentral:rRNA from 1 species